rnacentral:rRNA from 1 species
UACGUAGGGUGCGAGCGUUAAUCGGAAUUACUGGGCGUAAAGCGUGCGCAGGCGGUUCGUUGUGUCGGCGGUGAAAGCCCCGGGCUUAACCUGGGAAUGGCCGUCGAAACUGGCGAACUGGAGUGUGGCAGAGGGGGGUGGAAUUCCGCGUGUAGCAGUGAAAUGCGUAGAGAUGCGGAGGAACACCGAUGGCGAAGGCAGCCCCCCUGGGCCUGCACUGACGCUCAUGCACGAAAGCGUGGGGAGCAAACAGG